GUCGAGCGGUAGAGAGAAGCUUGCUUCUCUUGAGAGCGGCGGACGGGUGAGUAAUGCCUAGGAAUCUGCCUGGUAGUGGGGGAUAACGUUCGGAAACGGACGCUAAUACCGCAUACGUCCUACGGGAGAAAGCAGGGGACCUUCGGGCCUUGCGCUAUCAGAUGAGCCUAGGUCGGAUUAGCUAGUUGGUGAGGUAAUGGCUCACCAAGGCGACGAUCCGUAACUGGUCUGAGAGGAUGAUCAGUCACACUGGAACUGAGACACGGUCCAGACUCCUACGGGAGGCAGCAGUGGGGAAUAUUGGACAAUGGGCGAAAGCCUGAUCCAGCCAUGCCGCGUGUGUGAAGAAGGUCUUCGGAUUGUAAAGCACUUUAAGUUGGGAGGAAGGGUUGUAGAUUAAUACUCUGCAAUUUUGACGUUACCGACAGAAUAAGCACCGGCUAACUCUGUGCCAGCAGCCGCGGUAAUACAGAGGGUGCAAGCGUUAAUCGGAAUUACUGGGCGUAAAGCGCGCGUAGGUGGUUUGUUAAGUUGGAUGUGAAAUCCCCGGGCUCAACCUGGGAACUGCAUUCAAAACUGACUGACUAGAGUAUGGUAGAGGGUGGUGGAAUUUCCUGUGUAGCGGUGAAAUGCGUAGAUAUAGGAAGGAACACCAGUGGCGAAGGCGACCACCUGGACUAAUACUGACACUGAGGUGCGAAAGCGUGGGGAGCAAACAGGAUUAGAUACCCUGGUAGUCCACGCCGUAAACGAUGUCAACUAGCCGUUGGAAGCCUUGAGCUUUUAGUGGCGCAGCUAACGCAUUAAGUUG
rnacentral:rRNA from 1 species